UGAAAAGUCCCUCUUUCUUUCUUUCUUUCUUUCUUUCUUUCUUUCUUUCUUUCUUUCUUUCUUUCUUUCUUUCUUUCUUUCUUUCUUUCUUUCUUUCUUUCUUUCUUUCUUUCUUUCUUUCUUUCUUUCUUUCUUUCUUUCUUCCUUCCUUCCUUCCUUCCUUCCUUCCUUCCUUCCUUCCUUCCUUCCUUCCUUCCUUCCUUCCUUCCUUCCUUCCUUCCUUCCUUCCUUCCUUCCUUCCUUCCUUCCUUCCUUCCUUCCUUCCUUCCUUCCUUCCUUCCUUCCUUCCUUCCUUCCUUCCUUCCUUCCUUCCUUUCUUUCUUUCUUUCUUUCUUUCUUUCUUUCUUCCUUUCUUUCUUCCUUUCUUUCUUCCUUUCUUUCUUUCUUUCUUUCUUUCUUUCUUUCUUUCUUUCUUUCUUUCUUUCUUUCUUUCUUUCUUUCUUUCUUUCUUUCUUUCUUUCUUUCUUUCUUUCUUUCUUUCUUUCUUUCUUUCUUUCUUUCUUUCUUUCUUUCUUUCUUUCUUUCUUUCUUUCUUUUCUUUCUUUUCUUUCUUUUCUUCCUUUCUUCCUUUCUUCCUUUCUUCCUUUCUUUCUUCUUAACCUGUAUCUUAAAAUUGGUUCCAAGGCAGAAGAGCAGUAAGGGCUAGGCAACUGGGAUUAAGUAACUUGUUCAGGGUUACACAGCUAAGAAGUAUCUGAGGCCAUAUUUGAACCCAAGACUGGACUCCAGUCUCUAAGCCUGGCUCUCUAUUCCCUGAGCCACUUGACCUUUAAUGUAUUUUUAAACCAUAAUUGUUCUAACCUUUCUAUUUUAAAAAUAACUUUCCUUUCCUUUCCAAAAGAAUGAAGCUAAACAAUUGAGUAGUUCUGUUUUCUCUGUGUUCUCUGUUAAUAUUAUACCAUCUGCUAUAAGCAGUGGGGCUUAUUUUCACUUCUCACUUCAAACAUUUCUUAAAAAGUAAUUCUUGGGGACAGCUGCUUGGCUCAGUAAAUGGAGAACCAGGCCUGGAGAUGGGAGGUCCUGGGUUCAAAUUUGUCCUCAGAUACUUCUUAGCUGUGUGACCCUGGGCAAGUCACUUGAUUCCCAUUGCCAAGCCUGUAAUGCUCUUAUAACCAAUACACAGUAUUCAUUCUAAGAUGGAAGGUAAGGGUUUUUAAAAAGAAAGAAAGGAAGGAAGGAAAUAAGGAAGGAAGGAAGGAAGAAAGGAAGAAAGAAAUUCUUGGGGGGCAGCUAGGUGACAGUGAUUUGAGAGCCAGUUCUGGAGAUGGGAGGUCCUGGGUUCAAAUCUGUCUCCAGAUACUUCUUAGCUGUGUGACCCUGGGCAGGUCACUUAAUCCCUUUUGCCUAGCCAUCACCUCUCUUCCACCUUGGAAUUGAUAUCCAGUAUUGAUUCUAAAAUGGAAGGUAAGGGUUUAAAAAAAUGGAUUCUUGUCAUCCUUAACAUUUUUUGGUCCUCCCCUAAAAUUUUCCUCUCUGUGAGCUAGUUGAGGUAAUCAUCACAAUUAAGGGGCAGAUAGCAAAAGUUAUCCAAUAAUAAUAGACUAGUGGAGUUCAAAGAUAUAUCUAUGUCCCAUUGUCCCUUUAUUAAGUAUGAAGAGAUUUUCUGAUUGAAUUAGCAGAACAAUUGGACAUUGGUUAGAAAAAUAUUGGCCAGGUCCCUGGAGGUCCUUAAAAAGCUAAGCUAGCCAAGCCCUUAAAAGAGAGUUCAAGGUAUGCUUUAGAUGCAUCCAGAAGGGAGUAGAAAUACAAAGUGUUUAUGGAGGCAAGUACAGAAAAGAGAAGCAUUAUAGGUGUGGAAUAAAUAGCUUGAAGAAGUAGCA
ensembl:lncRNA